rnacentral:rRNA from 1 species
UGGAUCCAGACUUUGAUUAUGGCUCAGGACGAACGCUGGCGGCGUGCCUAACACAUGCAAGUCGAGCGGGGAUGGUAAGGAGCUUGCUUCGGACCAUUCUAGCGGCGGACGGGUGAGUAACGCGUGAGCAAUCUGUCCUGCACAGGGGGAUAACACUUGGAAACAGGUGCUAAUACCGCAUAAGACCACGGAGCCGCAUGGCGCAGGGGUCAAAGGAGCAAUCCGGUGCAGGGUGAGCUCGCGCCCCAUUAGAUAGUUGGCGGGGUAACGGCCCACCAAGUCGACGAUGGGUAGCCGACCUGAGAGGGUGAUCGGCCACACUGGGACUGAGACACGGCCCAGACUCCUACGGGAGGCAGCAGUGGGGAAUAUUGGGCAAUGGGCGAAAGCCUUACCCAGCAACGCCGCGUGAGGGAAGAAGGUUUUCGGAUUGUAAACCUCUGUCCUGGGGGACGAAGGAAGUGACGGUACCCCGGGAGGAAGCCCCGGCUAACUACGUGCCAGCAGCCGCGGUAAUACGUAGGGGGCGAGCGUUGUCCGGAAUUAUUGGGCGUAAAGGGCGCGUAGACGGCCGAGUAAGUUAUAGGUGAAAGCCCAUCUUUCAAGGAUGGAAUUGCCUGUAAUACUGCCUGGCUUGAGUGCAGGAGAGGGAAGCGGAAUUCCUAGUGUAGCGGUGAAAUGCGUAGAUAUUAGGAGGAACACCAGUGGCGAAGGCGGCUUUCUGGACUGUAACUGACGUUGAGGCGCGAAAGCGUGGGGAGCAAACAGGAUUAGAUACCCUGGUAGUCCACGCCGUAAACGAUGGAUGCUAGGUGUGGGAGGUAUCGACCCCUUCCGUGCCGGAGUUAACGCAAUAAGCAUCCCGCCUGGGGAGUACGGCCGCAAGGUUGCAACUCAAAUGAAUUGACGGA